rnacentral:tRNA from 1 species
GGGGCUGUGGCUCAGUGGAAGAUCAUCUGCUUGCCAUGCAGAAGGACCAAGGUUCAAUUCCUGACAUCUCCA